rnacentral:rRNA from 1 species
AACGAACGCUGGCGGCAGGCUUAACACAUGCAAGUCGAACGCCCGCAAGGGGAGUGGCAGACGGGUGAGUAUCGCGUGGGAAUCUACCCCUCUCUGCGGAAUAGCCCCGGGAAACUGGAAUUAAUACCGUAUACGCCCGACGGGGGAAAGGUUUAUCGGGGUAGUAUGAGCCCGCGUCGGAUUAGCUAGUGGGUGGGUAAAGGCCUACCAAGGCGACGAUCCAUAGCUGGUCUGAGAGGAUGAUCAGCCACAUUGGGACUGAGACACGGCCCAAACUCCUACGGGAGGCAGCAGUGGGGAAUAUUGGACAAUGGGCGCAAGCCUGAUCCAGCCAUGCCGGGUGAGUGAUGAAGGUCUUAGGAUUGUAAAGCUCUUUCACCGAUGAAGAUAAUGACGGUAGUCGGAGAAGAAGCCCCGGCUAACUUCGUGCCAGCAGCCGCCGUAA